rnacentral:tRNA from 1 species
GUGGGGCGGGGCUCAGUGGUUAGAGCCUAGGGCUCGUAACCGAAAGGUUCCGAGUUCGAACCUCGCCGACGACG